rnacentral:rRNA from 1 species
AUACUGGUUAGUGGCGGACGGGUGAGUAACACGUUGGUACCUGCCCUCUAGUGGGGAAUAACUGGCCGAAAGGUCGGCUAAUACCGCAUGUGGUCUACGGAUCAAAGCAGCAAUGCGCUAGAGGAGGGGCCUGCGUCUGAUUAGCUAGUUGGUAGUGUAAUGGACUACCAAGGCGACGAUCAGUAGCUGGUUCGAGAGGAUGACCAGCCACACUGGGACUGAGAUACGGCCCAGACUCCUACGGGAGGCAGCAGUAAGGAAUCUUCCACAAUGGACGAAAGUCUGAUGGAGCAACGCCGCGUGCAGGAUGACGGCCUUCGGG